UCGAAAGAUUGGCAUUAUUAUUCCUGUUUUAUGAAUGAGGGAAUAAAGUGGAGAAACAGUGACUUGCACAAGAUCUUCUGGCUAGAGCUGGAUUUGAACCCAGGCAAUUUCUCUUGUGGCCACCAGUUUUUUUUAAAUUCUGGAAUUAAUACCUGUUUUCAGACUGUCGGGUGCAGCUGUGUGUAGGAGCGGGCCACAGGGAAGAGAAACCGAAUAAACCUCGCUGAACAAGGACUGCAGACGAUCCCAGUGCCCACACUCCCGGCACCGCGCUGCCCACAGAGGCAUGUUGGCCGCGGGAGCACCGGCCACACUGCAGCGAGCCACGGCCACGGGAGCUGAGUGACCGCAGGGCCCGGGGGGACAGUCCAGAGGGGCCCUGGCUGCUCGUUCUCUAAGGAGAAGA